rnacentral:lncRNA from 1 species
CCGAGUGUCAGACCUGAGCAGCCAAUCUCCGGCAGACGUGACGUCAGGCGGCAGAUCCUAAUUGGGGAAGGCGUGCGAGGAGCCCGAAGGCGCGCCGCCACCCUCCACAUCCACUGGGGUUGCCCCCGUGGGUCGCCGAGGCGGAGGUCCCCACGCCCCGGUCCCGUGUCCCGGGAGAGGACAAAGCGCUCAGCAAAGUUACUGAACGAUCCUGUCCUUUCAGAAGCCCCAUGCGUUUGAUAUUGUUUGGAAGCCCCGGCAUUUUCUUAUCCGUGUUUGCUGUGAUACUUGCUGCGGGGUUGAAUUCAGAUACCAAAUCGGGCCCCAGAAAGGGCUGUCGGGGCGCGCUGAGGUCUCCAUCGGAAACCGUUUAGGUGGCUCCCUGUGGGGCUGUAAAGUCCCCGUGGCUGCUUCUCGGUGUGCAGCCUCUGGUACCCUACUUCUCGCUUGGCAGGGAUGGGAGUGCAGGGCGGGCAGCAGAGGGCGCCCGCGUGGGACGGGGAGAACCGCCCAGGGACAACCGCAGAGACAGCCCUGUCCCUGGGCCUUUAGGGUAGGACUAGAGUUCAGGAUCCCUGAAAACCCUAAGCCAUUAUUGUUUUUAAUAAAGGCGAAUCAGUUCACGGGACCGUAAUCCGACCGGGUCACCCAACUUGGAGAUGACCUGACCCAUUAAGAGAGAUGGCAGAAUGUACCAGGGAUAGAGUCUGGGGGGUCAUAGUGCUCUUUGGGGAAAACCAUGAAAUAAUGACAUAUUUACUUUUAGCAUUUGAAUUCAAAACAAUGUCGCAUGAUUUUAUUAUGUGAAUGCAAUAGAAAGUCCACAGUCAUAGCAGUCUUCCUCUAUUUUUUUUUUAAGCCUUUAACUUAAGAAUGAUGGUGUGUUUCCAAGGCUUUGGUUGUUCUUGUUCUUAUUUACUUGUGGCUUAUCCUUUUGUUUUGUUGCCUGCAUGCAUUGGCUAGUAGACAAUUGGUAGCAGGUGACAAUGGUUUAAGAAGCAUUAAUGGAAAAAUAAUUUAACCCUAAGGAAACUUAACCCAUUAAUUACUUUUUUUUUCUGCACAUUGGAGAAAGACCUCCAAUAUUUGAUUUGGCAGGCAGGGCCUCAGUCCAGCUGCCUGAGCACUAGCUGCUUGUGAGAACACAGUUUGAGAGGCACUGUCAUGGAAUAAAUAGCGCCGGACUGGAGGGAAGAGCCCUCAGGUCCAGUCCUAACACUGCCAUUAGUAAGCUGAAGGACCACAGGCAGCUCACCUCUCCUUCUGCACCUCCACUUCCUCCUCUGUCACAGAGGAAUUGGAUGAAAAGUCCCUGCCAGCCCUAGCAGUCUGUGUCUCUAAGAACAUCCAGGGUCCUUCUGGACAGGAUCAUUCUAGGUCAGCCCCUGAGCCAGGCCAAAGUGAACUAGCUGAGAAGAUUGAGGAUUGAGGUGAGUCACAAGGCUGCCUCCCAGGUUGGUUCAAAGGUAAUGAGUUACCUCAAUUGAUUGUUCACAGUCAGUUACGGAUCCAAUUCCUUGUUCUACUCUUUCCCGUCUUCUUGAUACUGUACUUGACUAGUCUUAAGAAAAGUUUAAAGAAAAAAAAAAAAAGAAGAAGCUGUCUCUCAGCACCAGGUUCUGUAUGAAGGAUACAACAGAAGCUAAUAUCCACCGCAUCUCUGAAGGAGGCACUGAGGCUGUGGAAAUACAAAGGAUCACAAGGCAUAAAGCCCUUGUCUUUAAGAAACUUCGUGUCUUGUUAGGGAGAGAAGAUGUAAAUGAAAGCUUAAAAAUGAUAACAACUUAAUGAAGCAACACUUUGAGAUCAUGAUAGACCUCUCACAAGGGAGGACCUGAUUUGUAUGAUGCCUGUAUCAUAGUACAGCCCACAAUUCUUUGUCAUCUUAUGGAAAAUUCACCAACAUGUAGGGAAAAUACUUCCUACCUGCAACUCAGAUCAGUUCACAGAGCUCUUACCUCUCAGGUAGGGAUAAUGUAACAGCAGAUGAAAUGGUUGGAGGUGGGGAGGAGGGUGAUUAGCAUAGCUACAACAUUCUGCAGAGCCAGGACAGGAGAGGAGAGAUGUCAGACAGAGGAAAGCUCAGGAAAGAGUAAAGGACAGCAUCCCCAACAGGACCAGCCUCUACCUGUCUUCAGUGGUGGUCACUCCCAGUCCCCAGAUGGACAGAUGGCAAGCAUUAAAGCUGCUUUUGGGCAAUAAGUGGCAGCUACCUGUGGAGGGCACAGCCUGGAUGGGGACUCUAGGGGGCUGGGCUCUACCUGCUGCUUUACUUCUGUAUUAGUAUGUUCUCAUGCUGCUAAUACGUACCCGAGACUGGUUAAUUUCUAAAGGAAAGAAGUUUAAUUGACUCACAGUUCCGCAGGGCUGGGGAGGCCUCAGGAAACUUACAAUCAUGGCAGAAGGGGAAGGCAAACACGUCCUUCUUCACAUGGCGGCAGCAAGGAGAAGUGCCGAAGCAAAAGAGGGGAAAGCCCCUUAAAAAACCAUCUGAUCUCCUGAGAGCUCACUAUCAGGAGAACAGCAUGAGGGUAACCGCCCCCGUGAUUUAAUUACCUCCCACCGGCUCCCUCCCACGACACGUGGAUUACAAUCCAAGACGAGAUUUGGGAAGGGACGCAGCCAAACCAUAUCAACUUCCCGUGGAAACUUGAGCAAGACAUUUCACCUCUCUGAGCCUCAGUUUCCAGAAGGCCUGGGACUCUGCCUGAGAUCCUAGUGUUUGGGGGAGAAAUGACCUUAACCAGGCCCUUUGGCUCUGCAGAAAAAUGUUUUUUAACCAUUAAAAAAUGCAGAAUGCAGUUUUCCUCUCAACCCACAGCAAUGGCGAGGUGGGCAUUUCACACCAAUCUUUAACCCAAUUACAACCUGCCUUAUGACAGAUUUGGAUAUAUCACAAUCAGAUCAUCUCUGAAACAAAACCACAGGAAAAAAACAAAAAAAAAAACAAAAAAAAAAAAAAACCUCUAGUGUGAGGCUGGGCACCAUGGCUCACACCUGUAAUCCCAGCACUUUGGGAGGCCAAGGCAGGCAGAUUACUUGAGGUCAGGAGUUUGAGACCAGCCUGGGCAACAUGGUGAAACCCCAACUCUGAAAAAAAUAAAAAUAGGCCAGGUGCAGUGGCUCACACCUGUAAUCCCAGCACUUCGGGAGGCCAAGGCAGGCAGUUUACUUGAGGUCAGGAGUUUGAGAACAGCCUGGCCAACAUGGUGAAACCUCGUCUCUACUAAAAAUACGAAAAUUAGCCGGGCAUGGUAGCACAUGCCUGUAAUCCCAGCUACUCCGGAGGCUAAAGCAGGAGAAUCACUUGAACCCUGCAGGUGGAAGUUGCAGUGAGCCAAGAUUGUGUCACUGUACUCCAGCCUGGCAACAAAGCGAGACUCCAUCUCAAAAAAAUAAUAAGACUAAAACUAAAAAAAAUUUUUUAAAUACAAAAAUAAAUCUCUAGUGUGAAUGUUAACCCAUCCGUCUACACAUUAGUGUAUGUGUGUAUGCACACAAUUAAUAUGGAAAUAUACACAUGAGCAAGCAGCCCGACUCUGUAGUUGGGAGACUCCAGCAAAAUCACAGGUUUCCACAUAAGUCUCUUGCUAUUUACGUAACUAGCAAGAUAAUCCUUGAAAAACCUGUUAUGCACCCCAUGUACUAUCAUCUGAGAUGGUCACUCAUCCCAAACACUGAACUCACUAUUAUUCUGAAGGUGAAAGCCCAGUUUCUGUCAGCCAUGAGGAUGGGCCUUUGCCAAUUCUAGACCCAGUUUAAUGCUAUGGAUGCUGGACUCAAACCCCCCUAGAGUUCAAGGUCCAUUUAUGUUGGCAGUACACAACUUCCUGGUUCAAAAAACAAGCCUUUAAAGAUCUCAUAAAACUUCUUGGACUUCAGAUGGUUUUUACAAAACAAUACUCAGAUGAGCUAAGUGUAAAUGAAUCAGAAAAGAGGAUUAUGUUUCCCAUAAAAACUCAUGAGUUUGAGGAUUAGGAGAAGAAAGAAAGGCUGGCAAAUGCCAAACAUUUUAAAGCGCUUUGAGACCAUUAGUCAAACUCAAAGCAUGGCCAGUUUCCCUCAUCUUUACACUUUAUGAGUUUUGUAAUUGAAAAUCUUUUCCUACAUUUAAGAUCAGCUACAAAUCAAAUUUAGUGGCUGCCUAUGAUCAGAAGAGCAUCCAGCCAUGUUUUCUUCCAGGCAAGCAUUUCAUGGAGCUCCUUUUAGUCCUCUUUUAGUUUCAUCAAGAAAUUCUUAGAAAGAAAAUGGGAGGGGAGAAGGAAAAGAAAUGAGAAGCCAAUAGGCUGUAGAUAAAAGGAAGAGAGAGAAAGAGCAAGAGCAAGAGAGAGACUGAGGGAAAGGAAAGUGAGAGGAGAGGAAGCAGGAGAGAGAGGGUGAGAAGGGAAAGACAGAAAGGCAGAAAGAAAAGCAGAAAGACGGAUAGAGGCAAAGAAGGAAGAGGAAUGAAUGGAGAAAGGGGGAAGGAAGCAGAAAGCAAUGAAUGAGAAAGGGAGCAGACAGAGAUGUAGAUGGAGAAAAUGAAAAAAUGAAAGGAGAGAAUUUUAAACAGAAUCUACGGCUCCAUUUCCUCAGGCUGCUCAUUAGGAUUCUGGCAGCCUUUUCUGAACAUCAGCUAGCUGUAACCUGAACAUCAGUUUGUCCAGAUUUGGGCUAGAAUUAAAUCUGCAACCUUAUUAGGUGCUAGCACAGUGUGGCUGGCUGCCCCAUACCUCACACAAAGUGGUAGGGACAGGAAGUCUCGUGUUCUCCUACACAAGCAGCAGGCCAAGAAUGGAAUCUUCACCUCAUGACUGCCCAAAAAUAGGUAGCUUAUUCACUCACACAGUCCUGUUUUGUAUUUUUAACCAUUUCAUCAAAAGGUAGGGGUGGGGGGCCAGGCGCGGUGGCUCACACCUAUAAUCCCAACACUUUGGGAGGCGGAGGCGGGUGGAUCACUUGAGGUCAGGAGUUCGAGACCAGCCUGGCCAACAUGGUGAAACCCUGUCUCUACUAAAAAAAAAAUAAAAUAAAAUAGAAAAAUUAGGCCGGAUGUUGUGGUGGGCGCCUGUCAUCCCAGCUACUUGAGAGGCUGAAGCAGGAGAAUCACUCAAACCUGGGAGGCAGGGGUUGCAGUGAGUCGAGAUCUCGCCACUGCACUCCAGCGUGGGUGACAGAGCAAGACUCCAUAUCAAAAAAAAAAAAAAGUAGGGGUGAGGGAGUUUAGAAACGUGUGACCUCCUCCACCUAUGACUCUACUUCCAUGAGAAAAAAACAUGAAGCUUUACAAAUGCAGAAUUAAAGCAGAGGCUCAUGUGGGCUCAUGUGAUGAAAAUGUUAGUGUCUGUCUACCAAGCUGUGUGAGCAAGGUAGAAACAGGUCUGCUUUGCAGAAAAAGAUGACGUACCCCCAGGAAUGAGCAACAAGUAGAACUGAGGUUUACCCCAGCGUUUCCCUUCCCUUCCCUUUUGUUUUCAUAUAACAAACAUUUGUUGAACAACUAUAGGGUCCUCAGCUAGCUUCCACAGAAACUUUACAGCAAAUUCAGAACAGAUUUCCAUUUUAGAUGGAGAAGUUAGAAUUAAUAUGUUGUUAGAUUGCAA